UGCAAGGAUUCACUGUUAAAAGAGGUGGCAUAAUGUCCUCCUCCAGCCUCAAGAAGAGCAAUAUGGCUUCCUUCUCCAUUUCCAAUAUCUGGCCCUCUAGGUCUGAGAGGAAGAUGUGGCUGAAUAUAGGUAAAACACAGCCUCCAGUGACCUCAACUAUCCCUUGAAUUCACAGACACUGAUUCCCAAAGAGCCAUGGGGUGCCACAAAGAUCUGAACAUAUCGCUUCCUGUGCCCGCCAAUAGCUGGAAAAAGGAAGAAGGGAAAUCUUGAACUUUCUAGACUAUAAGAAAGGCUGGGAAAUUUCACACCUCUUUGCCACAUUAUCUUGAUUAUUAUCCUGGCUUGCUUCUCGAAGGCUUGGAGACUGGCUGGAAUUUUCAACGGGACACUCAGAAGGAAGCAACCGAAUCGUGAAAUGUUCAAGGAGGACCUUCACAGAAGAAGACAUGUGAACAAACCUGUGCCCAAGCCUUUGUGUGGGACUGAGCUACCCUAGGAUACGGUUGGCCGCUUUCUGUACGAAACAAACAAAAUGCAACACAAACAAAAGGCACCCCCAACCCCCAAACACACAAAACCAUGAGGGGGGAUUUAGUCUGGAGGGAUUUCACACUGAAAAAGAAAGAAUUUCUUGUACACAUGUUCUCCAAUUUUAGACACGACGCCUUCCUGGACAUUUUGUCAUAAAGCAGAUGACCAGAAGUGACAGCUCAAGGAGCAUCUACUGAAGGUCCACUAUGUUCCAGGCACAACGAUAAUCUCUGCCAUGUUCACAUGGCCUAAAAUUGAUCCCUGCCUCAGAAGGGGUCAGGCAGUAAGAACAGAGAAAAGUGUUUACAAAGCUGAGGCACAGGAGCAGACCAGCAGAGUGGCGAAGAGAGGGGACUCUGGGACAUUCUUCGGACAACUGAGUGUGAAACACAAUCAUAUAUUGCCCAAGCUCGUGAAACAGAUGUUUUAUUGUUGCCUACUUCCAGGCAGACUAUCAACAUCUGGUGAACAUACACCGUGUCAUCUUAGAUGACCCACAUCCCAGUGGGAUUUUAGUGUUCCUGUCCAUCGGCUGCUUCCACUGUCAUUCUUGACCUAUUUGUCCCAGGAUUUGGCUCAGACCUUCCUGAAGCCUCACGCCUCCAAAUCCAGGCUCACUUCUCCCGGCCAAAGAAGUGACCUUAACUUCUUAUGCCUGAGAAGACACUGUUCACAGGCCACUAUUGACCAAUAUUUCAACACUCAAAGAGUUCUUGUCAUCAUUUCAUGACCUGUCCCUUCCUUUUCAGAGGAGGAAGUAUGCCCAAUCAUUCCCAAGAUAACCCUGUCAGUUAGAAGGGAUACUUUCAGUGCUAAGGUUCAAUGCUUCUAAAACCCAGAGCAAUUCUGUAUUAAGUUCUGUAUCUUUAAGAAGAGCAGAGAAUAGCCAUUCUUCCAAAUGCUGGAAAGAAAUAAGGCACUAGGGAGCUCUUAGGAAGCCACUUUCCAUGGACAAAGCCCAGCCCUCAUAGAAAGGGAUCAGACAUCACUUGAUUUAUUCCCAAGGUAAAAACUGGAUUAAUACUCCCCCCUAAAUUGUUUGAGAGUGUUUCCUGCAACCUUAAUUUGUAAGAAUAGAGGAAUAAAUAUACAAACCAUGGUGUAUCCAUGUAUUAUAAA